UACGUAGGGGGCAAGCGUUGUCCGGAUUAUUGGGCGUAAAGAGCGUGUAGGCGGCCAUACAGGUCCGUUGUGAAAACUGGAGGCUUAACCUCCAGACGUCGAUGGAAACCGUAUGGCUAGAGUCCGGAAGAGGAGAGUGGAAUUCCUGGUGUAGCGGUGAAAUGCGCAGAUAUCAGGAAGAACACCCGUGGCGAAGGCGGCUCUCUGGGACGGUACUGACGCUGAGACGCGAAAGCGUGGGGAGCGAACAGG
rnacentral:rRNA from 1 species